AAGAAACCAAACCAUAAAGGCCGCUGUA
rnacentral:piRNA from 1 species